CUGUAGAGUUUAUUGGUGCAACUACAUGGAAUAAACAUGUUACAGCAUAUUCUGUGCAUUUGGUCUUCCAAAAUUCUAUCACCUCUCCUUUGCAUGAUUAAACACAGCGUGGAGGAUGCAGCAUGGGCCAAACAGAAAUGGCGUCCUGAAGCCAGCAUAAAACUGUCUCCAAACCACAACUAAUACAGUUUAAAACAAUUUAAAACAUUCACUUAUGGAGGAAUUUUAAAUGUAAUAAUUGAAAGCACUGUUCUUUCAUAAAUAUUAAUAUCCACUAGAGUUACAAUUGACUGUGUGGAUGAGCAUAAUCCUCUUAGCUUUUCAGCUAACAGUGGCUUUUUGGUGAAAAAAUAACAACCCCCAUCCUGCACCCCCCCUUCCCAGGUACCUGUCCUCUCGAGUAAAGAAAAGAGAACAUCCAUAACACUGGUGAUGCUGAAUUGGCAUUGACCCACACUAUAGUACUGGGCUGCAGCACAAUAUUUAUCAGUCUCUGGAACAUUGCAGGUGCUCCAAGCAGCCCAAAUAGGGAAAUCUGAUAUUGCCAGUGACCACGGGUGCUGAAGGCCAUUUUCUCAGUUGCAUUGGGGGUAAGGCAACCUGCCAGUAUCUUUUGGUUAAUCAAGUGUAUAUGAAGGUAUAUCGAGGGGAAUAUGGACAAGCACCUCCUUAAACUCUCCACUAGGUCAUCCACUGGGGGGAGGAGAUAGCAAUUGAAUACAAAAUCCUGGUUGACCAGGGGCUGGUGGAUUCCAAGAUAAUCCCUUCCUCAAGCAUCCGGCUCACCUCCUCCUCUAUAGGCUGACAAUGGGCUUACAUCUGAAGAUGGUUCUACAAGAUCCCUGCCAUUGGGCACCUCCUGUCAAUCUUCAUUAUCCUGUGUGACAUCAUCCGUCGAUUCAACAAUCAACCAGAAUCAGAAUCACGAUUAGAAACAGAAACAGAAGGAGAAAGAGAACAUGUGCUGAUUUGUUAGAGGGCUAUAUUGUUGUUGGUCCAUUUUGGUAUGUCAGACUGUUCAUGUAUCCCAACUUUAGUCAUGCAUUCGGCAUCUGUAUGCUUGUGUUUAUUUGCUUUGUGUAUGUGACUUUGUUUAUAUUGGGGAAGACUGGACAGGUGAGUAUGUCACGUGACAUACAUUGUGCAACAUGUAGGUAAGCUUUUCUGUAUUAGACACACUAGGUUAGGAGCGCCUGCCACCCUCUGUACCUUUUGUUCGGUUAGGAAGUAUAGGUUUGUUAGGGCGUCGUCAACGCUGAAGAUUUGUUUUAUUACCUUCCUUUGUAGUUUAGGUUACAGGGUUAAGAUCAAGUUAGCGUGGUUUUGUUUUGCUUAUUUCUUUGUUUUGGCAUCGCUCGUGUCUCUUCCCCUUUGUGUGUUUUCUUGUUAUCUUGUUUCUGUAGAUAUCGUAAAUAUUAUCACCUUUGUCACAACCACUUGUAUGAUAAUAGAGACAGGUUUGGCCCACUAUAAGUUGUCCUUGUUGUUGAUUGCCACAUACAUACCAGAAAUCUAACUUUAUAAUCAUUUCAUAUUGUUACCUCCCAACCAUACCCCUAAACACCAUUUGGGAUCGUAAAAAAUGGGGGCUCGUCUGGGAUAGUUUUUCCCGUGUUCAAUAUUUUUGGUGUGUGUUGGUGUCAUCAACGUAGUUGUGGGGAGCCUAUAGACUAACUUGUAGGUUUGCACUUUACCUCUAGGGGUAUUGGCAUUAGUGUUGUGCUUUUUAGUGUGUGGUGUGUGGGAAUUAAUAAUCGAAACAUGGCUUUGUUUGAUUUACAGUUAUUUAUUAAAGAUCCCACCAUAGAACAGCUAAAUAACUCUCUAUUGUCAGGCAAGCUUGUGAAGAACAAAUUAAGCAUGUAGUAUUGGUAGUAAGGUUUGACUGACUUAAAUGUUUUGCUCCUAACUGGGGAUGCUGUUGAACAGCCUAUUUUAAAGGAUGUGCAGGACAUCGAAAAAAGAUGUUUGGUCUCUCUUGGUACAGUGUCGUCUGAUUGGUAAAGCUCAGGAAGUCUGCUCUACCCUGUCUUUAGAAGACACUUUAAAAUAUGACACACUAAAAGCUGCUAUUCUACGUGCCUAUGAGUUUGUGCCUGAAGCAUACAGACGCAGAACGAGUGAAGCAUACAGACAAAGAUUUAGAAAUCAUAGGAAAAUGACUAAUCAGACUUUUGUUGAGUUUGCUAGAGAGAAGGGUAUUCUCUUUGACAAAUGGUGUGUUGCUAGCAAAGCUACUGAUUUUAAUUCACUGCGGGAAUUAAUUUUGGUGAGGAAUUUAAAAAGCAAGUAGUGGUUUACCUGAAAGAACAAAAGGAAAACUCCCUCUUUCAAGCCGGAUGCAUUUGUGUUAAGUCACAAAACUGUGUUUUCCUCUGUACGAUCUGAAAAGACCUUGUCUACCCAGUCACAGUCCCUAACUCCAAAGUCUAAUUCUCUGCAUCCUAAAGAGGUAAGGGAAUGUUUUUACUGUCAUAAACAAGGACAUGUAAUUUCUGACUGUAUUGCAAUGAAACGCAAACAAUAGCCGAAAAGUGUUGCUUUUAUGAACACUGUAGCUGAUUUAUGUAAGUCCGACGCUGUGUGUGAAAUACCUGAUUCUAUUGUAGUUAUAAGCCGUUCUUGCUGAAAGGGUUAAUUUCGCUAACUUGCAAACCUGAGGAUCAAAAACAAAUACAGAUGCUUAGAGAUACUGGUGCUGCACAGUCGCUUGUUGUUGCAGACCUGCUGCUGUUAUCUGAUGAGACAUUUUGUGGUUCCAGUGUGUUAGUACAAGGACUAGAAAUGGAAAUAAGUAAUGUACCACUACAACGAAUACAUAUUGAAAGUGAGUUAGUUACUGGAUUUGUGAGAGUCGGUGUACAGCAUUCACUUCCCAUUAAAGGUGUUACCUUUAUCUUGAGCAAUGACCUGGCAGGGGGCAAAGUAAUGCCUGUGCUAGAGGUUUUGGAUAAACUUGAUGUGCUUUGUGGGAAUAAUAAAUUGUUUAACACAUACCCUGACGUUUUCCCGACUUGCAUGAUAAUGCGCGCGCAGUCGCAGAAAGUGGGCGAUGUGGUCACAUGACGUGAGCUCCGUAGGUUCCUGGGCAUGGCCAGCUAUUACUGUAGCUUCUGUAAAAACAUUUCCACUGUCGACUAGUUUUUUAAAUCCGUCACAACCCUUUGACUGGUCAGAUGAGUGUCAAAACGCAUUUGAAACGGUUAAGUCUCUGUUGUGUAAUGCACCUGUUCUUGCAGCACCCAAUAUUGCAUUACCCUUUAAGUUAGAGGUUGAUGCUAGUGUGGUUGGUGCAGGUGCCGUUCUCCUUCAGGAGAAUGAACAGGGCAUUAAUCAUCCGGUGUGUUAUUUAUCUCAUAAGUUCAACAAACAUCAAUGUAAUUAUUCCACCAUAGAAAAGGAGGCUUUGGUAUUACUACUUGCAUUACAAUAUUUUUAAGUUUACGUUAGUUCAUCAUCUCUGCCUGUCACUGUGUUCAUGGAUCAUAACCCAUUACUCUUUCUCUCUCGCAUGUAUAAUCAGAAUCAGCGUUUAAUGUGCUGGUCACUGGUCAUUCAAAAUUACAACCUGGAAAUUAAGCACAAGUCUGGUGCAGAGAAUAUUGUGGCCGAUGCACUAGUGUUAAUAUCUGGUCACAUUUGUUACUGUAAACCAAACAGUUGUUUGAUCUUAAGGGGAAGGGUGUUACGUGCUGUGUUUGUGGGUUCGGUGUUUUGUUUGUAUUCUCUCUCUCUCUCUCUCUGUCUCUCUCUCUCUCUCUCUGUCUUUGCUCCACUAUCUGUCUCUUCAGAUCCCUGCCAUUGGGAACCUCCUGUCAAUCUUCGUUAUCCUGUGUGACGUCAUCCGUCAAUCCACCAAUCAACCAGAAUCAGAAUUAGGGCGUCGACACUGAAGAUUUGUUUUAUUACUUUCCUUUGUAGUUUAGGUUAGAGGGUUAAGAUCAAGUUAGCACGGUUUUGUUUUGCUUAUUUCUUUGUUUUGGCACCGCUCGUGUCUAUUCCCCCCUUUGUGUUUUUUUUUUUUUGUUAUCUUGUUUCUGUAGAUAUCGUAAAUAUUAUCACCUUUGUCACCACCACUUGUAUGAUAAUAGAGACAGGUUUUACCCACUA